rnacentral:rRNA from 1 species
AGUCACUGACAUUAGAUACCCCGGUAGUCCUAGCCGUAAACGAUACUCGCUAGGUGUCGGCCACGGUGCGACCGUUGUCGGUGCCGUAGGGAAGCCGUGAAGCGAGCCACCUGGGAAGUACGGCCGCAAGGCUGAAACUUAAAGGAAUUGGCGGGGGAGCACCACAACGGGUGGAGCUUGCGGUUUAAUUGGAUUCAACGCCGGAAAUCUUACCGGGACCGACAGCAACAUGAAGGCCAGGCUGAAGACUUUGCCGGAUUAGCUG